AAAAUAGCCAAUAAAAAAUAUGAUUGCAUCAACCUCUUAUUCAAAACACAUUAGAUGAAUGAAACACAAAGGUCUUCAGGAUUGGUCACUGUCUACUUUGUCAUAUAUGGAAGAAAAUAGUUAACUUUUCUCUGUGUUUCUAUUUAUCAAUUUACAGAUUAUCCUCCAGUGUUUUAAAUCUGUAAAAUAACUGCUGAGGUGCAGUGUGCUAGUUAGAAGCUCUGUUAUUGUCCUCGAUUAUCAUAUUUUAUUAGGAUCAUAUCUUCUACUUGAUUGCUCAGGCAGCAAGGAAUAAUGGACCUUUGGUAUUCCCACUUUGGAGCUAUACACUAUCAACUCUUGACAGUGUUAAAUAUGGGAAAGAAAAGAAUACAGAAUGGAACGAGUGAGUGUUUGGAAUGUAAACUCAUCUGAUCAAACAUUUGUUGAGUUCCAACAGAGUCUGGCACGAGGGAGAAAAUAGUCAUGAGGCUUUAGUGCUCUCUCCUGCUGGGAAACACGUGUGACUGGGACCACUGGCCUGUUUGCCUUAACUGGAAUUUUACAAAGAAGUUUAAGAAUGCCUUUGACUUUUUCCUUUUAAAAGUCUUGUAAUCAGAUCUAUUUGGAGCAGAAGAAAUGCUCACACCACUAUUAUAUUAUUCAACUUAUUUUGUAUGGAAUGCAUGUAUGUUAGAAAAUGGAUGACUGCAUUUUCUCAUUUAAUAAUGCA
rnacentral:lncRNA from 1 species